AUCCAGUCGAUGAGUCGUGAAUAGGACGAAACGCGCGUUUUGGAU
rfam:Schistosoma haematobium scaffold956_4, whole genome shotgun sequence.